CGCCGAUGGAGGGGGAUAACUACUGGAAACGGUAGCUAAUACCGCAUAACGUCGCAAGACCAAAGAGGGGGACCUUGGGCCUCUUGCCAUCGGAUGUGCCCAGAUGGGAUUAGCUAGUAGGUGGGGUAACGGCUCACCUAGGCGACGAUCCCUAGCUGGUCUGAGAGGAUGACCAGCCACACUGGAACUGAGACACGGUCCAG
rnacentral:rRNA from 1 species